rnacentral:rRNA from 1 species
GUAUCUUCGGAUAUGAGUAGAGCGGCGGACGGGUGAGUAACGCGUAGGAAUCUACCUAGUAGAAGGGGAUAGCCCGAGGAAACUCGGAUUAAUACCGUAUACCUCCUUCGGGAGAAAGAAGGCCUCUCUUUGAAGCUUUCGCUAUUAGAUGAGCCUGCGUAAGAUUAGCUUGUUGGUGAGGUAAAGGCUCACCAAGGCUACGAUCUUUAGCGGGUCUGAGAGGACGAUCCGCCACAUUGGGACUGAGACACGGCCCAGACUCCUACGGGAGGCAGCAGUGGGGAAUAUUGGACAAUGGGCGCAAGCCUGAUCCAGCCAUACCGCGUGUGUGAAGAAGGCCCUAGGGUUGUAAAGCACUUUAAGUUGGGAAGAAAAGUUAUUGGCUAAUACCCAAUGACCGUGACAUUACCAUCAGAAUAAGGACCGGCUAAUUCCGUGCCAGCAGCCGCGGUAAUACGGAAGGUCCAAGCGUUAAUCGGAAUUACUGGGCGUAAAGCGCGCGUAGGUGGUUUAUUAAGUUGGGUGUGAAAUCCCCGGGCUCAACCUGGGAACUGCAUCCAAAACUGAUUCACUAGAGUACGAUAGAGGGAGGUAGAAUUCACAGUGUAGCGGUGGAAUGCGUAGAUAUUGUGAAGAAUACCAAUGGCGAAGGCAGCCUCCUGGAUCUGUACUGACACUGAGGUGCGAAAGCGUGGGUAGCGAACAGGAUUAGAUACCCUGGUAGUCCACGCCGUAAACGAUGUCAACUAUCUGUUGGAAAGCAUUGCUUUUCAGUGGAGCAGCUAACGUAAUAAG